rnacentral:tRNA from 3 species
GCCCCCUUAGUUAAGUGGUAUAACAGUUGAUUCGUAAUCAUCAAUCACAUGUUCGAUUCAUGUAGGGGGCACCA